CCAGACUCCUACGGGAGGCAGCAGUGGGGAAUAUUGCACAAUGGGGGAAACCCUGAUGCAGCGACGCCGCGUGAGUGAAGAAGUAUUUCGGUAUGUAAAGCUCUAUCAGCAGGGAAGAAAAUGACGGUACCUGACUAAGAAGCCCCGGCUAACUACGUGCCAGCAGCCGCGGUAAUACGUAGGGGGCAAGCGUUAUCCGGAUUUACUGGGUGUAAAGGGAGCGUAGACGGCAAGACAAGCCUGGAGUGAAAGGCGGGGGCCCAACCCCCGGACUGCUCUGGGAACUGUCUGGCUGGAGUGCAGGAGGGGUAAGUGGAACUCCUAGUGUAGCGGUGAAAUGCGUAGAUAUUAGGAGGAACACCAGUGGCGAAGGCGGCUUACUGGACUGUAACUGACGUUGAGGCUCGAAAGCGUGGGGAGCAAACAGGAUUAGAUACCCCCGUA
rnacentral:rRNA from 1 species